rnacentral:rRNA from 1 species
GACGAACGCUGGCGGCGUGCUUAACACAUGCAAGUCGAGCGGAGCGGCUGACGGGUGAGUAAUGCCUGGGAAUCUGCCUGGUAGUGGGGGUUAACGUCCGGUAACGGGCGCUAAUAUCGCAUACUAUCAGCUGAGCCUGGUUCGGAUUUGCUAGCUGGUGGGGUAAAGGCCUACCAAGGCGACGAUCCGUAACUGGUCUGCGAGGAUGGUCAGUCACGGUGGAACUGAGACACGGUACAGAGUCCUACAGGAGGCAGCAGUGGUGAAUGGUGGACAAUGGGCGAAAUCCUGAUCCAGGCAUGGCGCAUGUGUGGAGAAGGUCUUCGGAGUGUAAAUCGCUUUAAGUUUGGAGGCGUUACCAACAGAGUAAGCACCGGCUAACACGGUGCCAGCAGCCGCGGUAUUC